rnacentral:tRNA from 1 species
GGAGAGGUGUCCGAGUGGCUUAAGGAGCACGAUUGGAAAUCGUGUGGGAGAUGAAAAUCUUCUCGCGGGUUCAAAUCCCGCCCUCUCCG